UUAACUGAAACCAAAAAGAGGUAUAUUAUUGUUAAUAAUAAAAAUGAAUUCACAAUUCCAGUUAAG
rnacentral:tRNA from 1 species